UACAGAGGGUGCGAGCGUUAAUCGGAAUUACUGGGCGUAAAGCGUGCGUAGACGGUUAUUUAAGUCGGGUGUGAAAGCCCCGGGCUCAACCUGGGAAUUGCAUUCGAGACUGAAUAGCUAGGGUACGGUAGAGGGAAGCGGAAUUCCUGGUGUAGCGGUGAAAUGCGCAGAUAUCGGGAAGAACACCCGUGGCGAAGGCGGCUUACUGGGACGGU
rnacentral:rRNA from 1 species